rnacentral:snRNA from 1 species
GUACUCACUUUGGCAGCACAUGUGUAAAAACUGGAAGGAUACAGAGAUUAGCAUGACUUCUUCAAGGACAACAUGCAAAUUCAUGAAGCAUUUAAAAAAUAC